rnacentral:misc_RNA from 1 species
GUUGACUAUUUCUUUUGAUUAGUCAACUAAACCAUUUCUUUUGAUUAGUUUGUUUAAAUAGUUGACUAUCACUGAACUUCAUGUUCUCAAUGGAAGGCUCCCUUCUUGUCUCCAAUAAGCUAAAAGUCUAUUUACUUGAUCAGGGUCUUAAAAUUUUUGGGUCUAUGGCUUUGGGUGACCCAUUGACUGUGUUAUUUUAAAAUUUGGUAACAAUCAGACCAUUGCCUAGGCUUGCUUCAAUGUGGUUUCCUUGUUUAUGCUUUAUACCUUUAGUGUACUAUGUUAUUUUCCAUAAUUG